rnacentral:misc_RNA from 1 species
UCUCCGUAGGUGAACCUGCGGAGGGAUCAUUACCGAGCGAGGGCCUCGGCCCGACCUCCAACCCAUUGAAGUUACCAACCAUGUUGCCUCGGGGGUGACCCGGCCUCGGCGUCGGCGCCCCCGAAGGACCAUACCACUCUGCGUUCCUGCGUCGGAGUUUGAGGGAAAAUGUUAAUCAAAACUUUCAACAACGGAUCUCUUGGUUCUGGCAUCGAUGAAGAACGCAGC